rnacentral:rRNA from 1 species
UACAGAGGUUGCAAGCGUUAAUCGGAUUUACUGGGCGUAAAGCGUGUGUAGGUGGUUAUACAAGUCGGUUGUGAAAUCCCCGGGCUCAACCUGGGAACUGCUUCCGAGACUGCAUGACUAGAGAUCGGUAGAGGGCGGUGGAAUUUCCGGUGUAGCGGUGAAAUGCGUAGAUAUCAGGAGGAACACCAAUUGCGAAGGCAGCUCGCUGGGACGUUACUGACGCUGAGACGCGAAAGCGUGGGGAGCAAACAGG